rnacentral:rRNA from 1 species
UCCAUAGGUUAAUGAGGCGAACCGGGGGAACUGAAACAUCUAAGUACCCCGAGGAAAAGAAAUCAACCGAGAUUCCCCCAGUAGCGGCGAGCGAACGGGGAGGAGCCCAGAGCCUGAAUCAGCAUGUGUGUUAGUGGAAGCGUCUGGAAAGGCGCGCGAUACAGGGUGACAGCCCCGUACACAAAAGCGCAUGUGCUGUGAGCUCGAUGAGUAGGGCGGGACACGUGGUAUCCUGUCUGAAUAUGGGGGGACCAUCCUCCAAGGCUAAAUACUCCUGACUGACCGAUAGUGAACCAGUACCGUGAGGGAAAGGCGAAAAGAACCCCGGCGAGGGGAGUGAAAAAGAACCUGAAACCGUGUACGUACAAGCAGUGGGAGCACCCUUCGGGGUGUGACUGCGUACCUUUUGUAUAAUGGGUCAGCGACUUAUAUUCUGUAGCAAGGUUAACCGAAUAGGGGAGCCGGAGGGAAACCGAGUCUUAAUUGGGCGUUAAGUUGCAGGGUAUAGACCCGAAACCCGGUGAUCUAGCCAUGGGCAGGUUGAAGGUUGGGUAACACUAACUGGAGGACCGAACCGACUAAUGUUGAAAAAUUAGCGGAUGACCUGUGGCUGGGGGUGAAAGGCCAAUCAAACCGGGAGAUAGCUGGUUCUCCCCGAAAGCUAUUUAGGUAGCGCCUCGUGAAUUCAUCUCCGGGGGUAGAGCACUGUUUCGGCUAGGGGGCCAUCCCGGCUUACCAACCCGAUGCAAACUGCGAAUACCGGAGAAUGUUAUCACGGGAGACACACGGCGGGUGCUAACGUCCGUCGUGAAGAGGGAAACAACCCAGACCGCCAGCUAAGGUCCCAAAGUCAUGGUUAAGUGGGAAACGAUGUGGGAAGGCCCAGACAGCCAGGAUGUUGGCUUAGAAGCAGCCAUCAUUUAAAGAAAGCGUAAUAGCUCACUGGUCGAGUCGGCCUGCGCGGAAGAUGUAACGGGGCUAAACCAUGCACCGAAGCUGCGGCAGCGAACGUAUCACCCAAGACAACUUUACGGAGUUGACGAUUGACGGAGCGAAGCGACGUCAAAGCGUUCAUUAAAGUCGAGUUGGCUUAGGGAUACGUUCGUUGGGUAGGGGAGCGUUCUGUAAGCCUGUGAAGGUGUGUCGUGAGGCAUGCUGGAGGUAUCAGAAGUGCGAAUGCUGACAUAAGUAACGAUAAAGCGGGUGAAAAGCCCGCUCGCCGGAAGACCAAGGGUUCCUGUCCAACGUUAAUCGGGGCAGGGUGAGUCGACCCCUAAGGCGAGGCCGAAAGGCGUAGUCGAUGGGAAACGGGUUAAUAUUCCCGUACUUGGUGUUACUGCGAAGGGGGGACGGAGAAGGCUAUGUUGGCCGGG